CAGCGCGGUAAUACGUAGGUGGCAAGCGUUGUCCGGAAUUAUUGGGCGUAAAGCGCGCGCAGGCGGCUUCUUAAGUCCAUCUUAAAAAGUGCGGGGCUUAACCCCGUGAUGGGAUGGAAAACUGAGAGGCUGGAGUAUCGGAGAGGAAAGUGGAAUUCCUAGUGUAGCGGUGAAAUGCGUAGAGAUUAGGAAGAACACCGGUGGCGAAGGCGACUUUCUGGACGACAACUGACGCUGAGGCGCGAAAGCGUGGGGAGCAA
rnacentral:rRNA from 1 species